rnacentral:lncRNA from 1 species
AUCCUGCUGCUGGAUCCACCUCUGGAUUGAAGGCUGGGACCCGGCUAGAGACCUCACUCGGGCCAGCUCGGGGCCAGGACCUAGGUAAGUCAUCGCCGGGUCGUCGCCAGGGCCAGGGACCGGUAACAUCAUCAGUCUAACUUGCACGAAUGCUGCUGCUUCUGGCCCGUUGUCAUCUGCCGUGCGCGUAGUGGAGCCUGUAGCUCCCGAAGGUUUGGGGUCAAGGUCGCCGCAUCGCCUCCGUCUGUGUCCUAAGAGAACAAUGCCAUUUCGUUAUUUUGCCAUACUGGGAAGGUCUGGGACAACAGUCUCAGGUGAGAGGGCUGAACGGUGAGGGUCGCCCAGAGUCGGCUGAUAUCCGUUGCCGGCUUGAGUUACUAUCACCAGCUGCCUUUGGGGCUUGGAGGCCAUUUCCGCUGCAGCCACAGGCGCGAGCAGCAACGUCUAUGCCUCACAAGAAGUAAACAAAUUCCGCCGUCGCGGUCGAGAGCUGUCGUUUUCUGCGCCCAGGAUCGC